CCUACGGGGCGCUGCAGUGGGGAAUAUUGGACAAUGGGCGAAAGCCUGAUCCAGCCAUGCCGCGUGUGUGAAGAAGGCCUUCGGGUUGUAAAGCACUUUCAGUGGGGAAGAAAGCCUUGGGGCUAAUACCCUCGAGGAAGGACAUCACCCACAGAAGAAGCACCGGCUAACUCCGUGCCAGCAGCCGCGGUAAUACGGAGGGUGCGAGCGUUAAUCGGAAUUACUGGGCGUAAAGCGCGCGUAGGCGGUCUGAUAAGCCGGGUGUGAAAGCCCCGGGCUCAACCUGGGAACGGCCUCCGGAACUGUCAGGCUAGAGUGCAGGAGAGGAAGGUAGAAUUCCCGGUGUAGCGGUGAAAUGCGUAGAGAUCGGGAGGAAUACCAGUGGCGAAGGCGGCCUUCUGGACUGACACUGACGCUGAGGUGCGAAAGCGUGGGUAGCAAACAGGAUUAGAUACCCCAGUAGUC
rnacentral:rRNA from 1 species